rnacentral:rRNA from 1 species
UACGUAGGGCGCGAGCGUUGUCCGGAAUUAUUGGGCGUAAAGAGCUCGUAGGCGGCCUGUCGCGUCAAUUGUGAAAGCCCGGGGCUUAACCCCGGGUCUGCAGUCGAUACGGGCAGGCUAGAGUGUGGUAGGGGAGAUCGGAAUUCCUGGUGUAGCGGUGAAAUGCGCAGAUAUCAGGAGGAACACCGGUGGCGAAGGCGGUUCUCUGGGCAUGUCCUGACGCUGAGGAGCGAAAGUGUGGGGAGCGAACAGG